UCAAAAGUCCCCAGAACCAUUAAGAGAGGCAUGAGGGUCACAUCAUGAGCCGCAUAGAGGUACAGCUUUCUGCAAGAAACAAACAGCUGUCCACAAUGCUUUUCUCAGGUCUCUGGAGGCCAGAACAUUGCCUGUGUCCUGUGAAUAACUGACAACACUUCCUUCAGAAACCAGUUGGUUUCUAGAAAUCAGCCGAGCCUGGUCUGAAACUCCUUUGAAACAGCUCCCGUACCUAAAUCCUUUGAACGUUAAAGCAAAAGGAAAGAGUGAGUGAUUAAAAGACACUCAGCAAGGUGGUGGAUCCUAGUUCUAUGUAACAGGAAAUGAAAGCACUACGUCACCAGCCUCAACUCAGAAGUAGAAGGACCAGGAUCUGCAGUGUGGGGUCACUUCAGUCUCUUCACAGUGAUGCCAGAUGGCAGACAGAAGAGCUCCAAGAAGCAAAUCACAAGAUCACUCCUUAAGGACAAUGAACGCCUUCAACACGCCCUGGCUCUGCCACCAGGAGCUCUUCUACAGCUUGCGCACUGGGGAAGGCAAGUACCAGCCUUGUUCAGUGUAGCACAUGCCUGACACUGGACCACAAAUGGACUGGAGCAGGUAGAGACCAAGAUCAGACUGGCAUUUCCCUCCCCAUUCCAAAACACCCCCGCCAUGAAGCACUACCAGC